CCUGUCCCUCGAGGCAUUGCAGGCAUGGCCGCUGUGUCCCGCAUGCGUCAGUAGGUGGCAGAGAGGAGAGAAGCCAUGUCUAUGCUCAGUGUCUGACCUGUCAACAUCUGAAUGAUCAGUAGCCUAACAUU